UACGAAGGGGGCGAGCGUUAUUCGGAAUCACUGGGCGUAAAGCGUGCGUAGGCUGUUUGGCAAGUUGGGAGUGAAAUCCCGGGGCUCAACCCCGGAAUUGCUUUCAAAACUGCCAGACUCGAAUUCGGGAGAGGAUAGCGGAAUUUCCAGUGUAGUAGUGAAAUACGUAGAUAUUGGAAGGAACACCAGUGGCGUAAGCGGCUAUCUGGCCCGACAUUGACGCUGAGGCACGAAAGCGUGGGGAUCAAACAGG
rnacentral:rRNA from 1 species